rnacentral:rRNA from 1 species
AACGAACGCUGGCGGCGUGCCUAACACAUGCAAGUCGUGCGAGAAAGUUCCUUCGGGAGCGAGUAAAGCGGCGCACGGGUGAGUAACACGUAGGUAACCUGCCCCCCAGUCUGGAACAACUAGAGGAAACUACUAGCUAAUGCCGGAUGAGACCACGAUCCCUUCGGGGGUUGGCGGCCAAAGAUGGCCUCUACUUGUAAGCUAUCGCUGAGGGAUGGGCCUGCGGGCCAUUAGCUUGUUGGUGAGGUAACGGCUCACCAAGGCUGUGAUGGCUAGCUGGUCUGAGAGGAUGACCAACCACACUGGGACUGAGACACGGCCCAGACUCCUACGGGAGGCAGCAGUGGGGAAUAUUGCGCAAUGGGCGAAAGCCUGACGCAGCGACGCCGCGUGGGUGAUGAAGG